UGCCUCUUGUCCUCCAGCAACUUUCGGUGUCGUUACUUCCGAUUCAAAACAAGUCGAGAAGGUUUGAAUAGUCCAGACGUUGACAGUUUACACUUUACACAGCUCACGCUGUUCGGGAAAUCCGCUGUCCACCGACAUGCAAGGCAGUGCUGAUCAACAUAUGGAUGUAGAGCAGGGUUCUAAUUAUCAGCAGGCCCCACAUUCAUCAAGCAGUGUUGAUCAUCAAAUGAUGCAAAACGGUCAAGUCCUGCAUGAUCAG